GCGGGCGCCCCUCGCUCCGGCCGCUCGUCAGGAAGCGGAACUGGGCUCCUUGCCCCCGCCGCCGCCGCCCGAGCCCGAGCCCGCUCCUCCCCGGGCCAUGCGCAGCGCGGCGGCCCCGCGCCCGGAGCCCUGAGGGGCGGCCGCGGCUCGUCCCGCCCGCUGAGGCGCUGAGGCGCGGCGCCGCUCCCGCCGCCUCCCUCACGGCGCUGCCCCGCGGCCGCCCCGUGGGCUCUCACCGGGCCCCGGGUGCCCGCUCGGCGCUGGGCAUCGUGCGGUCCUUCCCCCGGCACUGACACGCUUGCAGGGAGGCAUGUUAGCCCACAGAAGUCACAGCCUGUGUUGGCAGGAAUGCUGCCUGACGCCUGAACGUGCAGCUGUGGUGCGAAGGGCAGGGGGUAUUCAGAGUUUCUGUGCCUGAGUUUCCUCACACACGGGCACUGAAACUCCGCUCCCCGUGCAGAACUGCCAUCACCUGGCUGCGCCGGGAGGCGUAGGGCAGGAGGCAGCCGAGUGACUGCACAGCUGAGCACACGGUGAUCUGCCUGACAGAACUGAAGUAAAACCUGGGUGACUUCAGCUGUAAACCCUAAGCGUAAGGGAAAUGUGGAGACUGGAAGGCGCUGUGGCACAGAAGGCAGCAGGGCUGGUUAGCAGGGCUGACUGCUGGCCCGGAGCAGGGCAUGGUCUCUGUUCUGGGCUGGGUGGCUUUAAAUCACGGCAGGCACCACGUCUGGCAGAAGCACAUACCCAUGAGGGAUCCAGCCCUAUGUCAUGGAGCUCCUCCUGGUUUGGCUUUGAGUUAAAUUCCACCCCCUGUUGUGACAACAGAGAGUUUUGAAACAGCUCCCACAAUUUACUUAUCCCCUCUUCAAAAAAAGUAAACAAUAACUGCAGCCGCUUUCUUUCCACUCUCCGUACCUGUGGCCAAGUCACCGAUGGGUGACCAAGAGGAACAGCAAGGACAGCACAGCCAAGAGUUCAGUGCAUUUAGCCUGCGACCUCACAGGUACGAAAUCUUAAGAGGCAGAAGCUACAAUGGAAGUGAACUGGGGCCAGUGCUGAAUGCAACCAUAACUGAAUGGGUAAUCCUCCUGGGUGAAAGCUGGAUGCUUUGCCACGCUUUCCUUUUUAAAAGCAGAUAUUCCACAAAUCCCUUCUCUUUUAUGAGAAGGCAGAGCACAGACUACAAGUUCUAUGGCAUAAAAAUAAAUAGCAAAACCAGCCAGCCUCUCUCUACCUCUCCCCGAACCUCCUGGCCACUGCAGAUACGUUCUACAAUCUACAUUGCAGAUACACGAAGGCAUUCAUCUCCUUUGAAAAGGGAAACAAUAACCAUCAUCAAAGAAACUGGCAAUGCAAGAAGGCACAAAGGCCAGUAUAUACUGCAGUCAUUUCAAAAAAAGCUGGAAGCAGGUUUCAAUAGGUGCAGUUACCGUCACCCACUCCAUGCGGGGCUGCAGAAAGCUGCCCCAGCGACGUGCUGCUUGCCAGGCCACGAGCAGCAGUGGGAAACAGCCACCACGGAGACUGCAAAUCCUGCGUGACAGAACAUGAGUGGGAAGAACAAGUCUAUAGGACAUGAUUCAGUACCUUCAGGGAGGAAACAACUGGCUUUUUGUUUGGUUGGGUAUUGUCUGAUUUUGCUUUUUUUCCCCCCUGCCUUUGAACAAAAUAAAUAAAUGAAUAAAUGGAUGAGUGGAUACA
rnacentral:lncRNA from 1 species